UACAGAGGUCUCAAGCGUUGUUCGGAUUCAUUGGGCGUAAAGGGUGCGUAGGCGGCCCGGUCAGUCGGCGCUCUAAGUGCGGGGCUCAACCCCGUGAUGGCGCCGGGACGGCCGGGCUGGGGCGCGGCAGAGGGAGACGGAAUGCCGGGUGUAGUGGUGAAAUGCGUAGAGAUCCGGCGGAACACCGGUGGCGAAGGCGGUCUCCUGGGCCGAGGGCCGACGCUGAGGCGCGAGAGCGUGGGGAGCGAACCGG
rnacentral:rRNA from 1 species